GACGUAGGGCGCGAGCGUUGUCCGGAUUUAUUGGGCGUAAAGAGCUCGUAGGCGGCUUGUUGCGUCGACUGUGAAAACCCGCGGCUUAACUGCGGGCUUGCAGUUGAUACGGGCAGGCUAGAGUUCGGUAGGGGAGACUGGAAUUCCAGGUGUAGCGGUGAAAUGCGUAGAUAUCUGGAGGAACACCGGUGGCGAAGGCGGCAUCCUGGACCGGUAUUGACGCUGAGGCGCGAAAGCCAGGGGAGCAAACGGG
rnacentral:rRNA from 1 species